rnacentral:rRNA from 1 species
ACUACGGGUGGCAGCAGUGGGGAAUAUUGGGCAAUGGGCGCAAGCCUGACCCAGCAACGCCGCGUGAAGGAAGAAGGCUUUCGGGUUGUAAACUUCUUUUGUCAGGGACGAAGCAAGUGACGGUACCUGACGAAUAAGCCACGGCUAACUACGUGCCAGCAGCCGCGGUAAUACGUAGGUGGCAAGCGUUAUCCGGAUUUACUGGGUGUAAAGGGCGGGUAGGCGGGGAAGCAAGUCAGAUGUGAAAACCACGGGCUCAACCUGUGGCCUGCAUUGGAAACUGUUUUUCUUGAGUGCUGGAGAGGCAAUCGGAAUUCCGUGUGUAGCGGUGAAAUGCGUAGAUAUACGGAGGAACACCAGUGGCGAAGGCGGAUUGCUGGACAGUAACUGACGCUGAGGCGCGAAAGCGUGGGGAGCAAACAGGAUUAGAUACCCGUGUAGUC